UUUUUUUUUGUAUGUUUUCUGGAAAAAAAAGGAAGAAGAAAGUUUGAAGAAGUGACAACUAAAAAAAACCUAGAAAUUUCGACUAAGUUUUCUGAAGUUUUAUCCGAUUUUUUCUGAUUUCUUCUUCUUCUUCUUCUUCUUCUUCUUCUAGCACAUAGAACUUACCUCAUAUAUAUAGCUUUCAGAAAUGUCCAAAAAUCUGCCCAAAUUUGAAAAAUCCUUCAAAUUCUUGAACAAUUUUUGUAGGCGUGGAUUGAUUCACAGGCUCCCAUUCAUCCAAUAAAUCGUUCUUUUUGUACAAAAAUCCGCAGUUUUGAGGGAAUAAUCGUACUCCUCUCUGACAAAUCUGUUGGGAAAUAGAGGUGACGUGGAGAGGGGGACCGACUUGAAUGAGCUCGCUCGAAACUCAGGCGAGUUGAAGCCAAGCUCAGUGAAGAAGAAGCACAGUAGCACCGCUUCUCUGAUUUCUCUUAGGGUUAGGGAGUU
rnacentral:lncRNA from 1 species